rnacentral:rRNA from 1 species
CCUAACACAUGCAAGUCGUGCGAGAACACCUUCUUCGGAAGGCUAGUAAAGCGGCGAACGGGUGAGUAACACGUGAGCGAUCUGCCCAGAGGUGGGGGAUAGCCCAGGGAAACCUGGAUUAAUACCGCAUACAGCGUCAGGCUUGGAUACCUGACGUGAAAGCUGGCCUCUUCUAUGCUAGCGCCACUGGAUGAGCUCGCGGCCUAUCAGCUUGUUGGUGGGGUAACGGCCUACCAAGGCAAUGACGGGUAGCUGACGUGAGAGCGUGAUCAGCCACAUUGGGACUGAGACACGGCCCAGACUCCUACGGGAGGCAGCAGUGGGGAAUAUUGCGCAAUGGACGAAAGUCUGACGCAGCGACGCCGCGUGGGGGAGGAAGGCCUUAGGGUCGUAAACCCCUGUCAGAUGGGACGAACCGUAGGUCGAAUAAUACUUGGCCUGCCUGACGGUACCAUCAGAGGAAGCUCCGGCUAACUCCGUG